UGCCAUGUCAGUCAGUAGAGCAUGAGACUUGUAAUCUCAAGGUUGUGGGUUUGAGCCCCACAUAGGGCAA